UCGACAUAUAGCUCGAAAAGGAAGAUGAACACAAAAUCCCAUUUCAUUAAUUGAUGUCCCCUUUGGCCGAAUAAGUUAAAUGUACAACAACAACAUUGUCUAACACAAAGUAAAAUUUGUGAAUCACUAUUAUGUAAUAGACAAAAAUUUAAAUUCUAAUAAAAAUAUUUUAUGUAACAUAAAAAUUUGUUUAUAAGUUUGAAAUAUGGAUCUCACUCUGCGCACGGGUUACUACCUAGUUAAUAUUUUAUAAGAAUAUUGAAUAUUCAUUAAACUAGAAUGAGACAUACGCUUUAUGCAGAGUGAGUUUAUAUGAACAGUAGUUAACAAAUAUUGGAUUAAAAUAUAAACUUUAUAUUUGAGGAUGCAAAAUAUUUUUGGCCCUUAUCAAAUUGAUUUGGUAUUCAAUUUUGUAUGAACAAAUAUAUUAUUUAUUUAUGGGCAUGUCCAAACUUUAUAAGAGAAAUUGCCGGAAUUAGAUAAGUUUAAGUGAAGUUGUGAUGUUCUUUUAUGUGACAUGAAUAUAUUAUAUAUUAUCUAUAAUAAUAAUUUGGAGUUUUCUCCCACCUCAAGCAGCCACGUCCUUUUUUUGGUGUGGGCAUAUGUCGCCACGUGUCGACGCUUAAUUGGUUACUUCUUUUUGUUUUUUUUUUGUGUUUUUUCCAUUAUUUGGUUUGGGCUCCGGUGUCUUUUAUUUUGUUCAUGGCGGCCCAUCUUGAAGCACGCCGAGGGUUUCACCUCUCGUCUCCUCUUCGUCUUCGUCUUCUACCUUCUCAUCAUCGACCGCGAGACGCAGAGAUUCGAGCCGGUUCAGUGUCCCUAACGCCUCCGAUUUCAAUAACUCUGCAACUUAACUCCACUGAGCGGUAGAGAAGGCGAGAGCCACCACCGGUCUCCUCUCUCCUCUCUGCCAUGCCGGAUCUCUCUCUCUCUCUCCCGUGCCUCGCUCUGUCACGGUUACAUGUCUCUCUCUCUCUCUCUCUCUGUGAGUUUUGAUUUCGAUUUGUUUUUGUCUUGGUAAUGAAAGUUGGAGGAGGCAGAGAAGCUUGAUGUAGGAGGACGGAGAAGAAGCUUCACGAGGUGGAGGAAGCGAGGUGGAGGAAGCUGGACAAACAGACAGCGGAAGAGGCGGGAUGAAAAGGCGGAGGAGGAGGCAUGACACUCAAGUUUGCCAGCGGUGGAGAGUUCAACAAGAAGAUGGCGGCCUCUAGAUUAGGUUUAGUGUUGUAUUUUUAGUUUUUUAGUUUUUUUUAAUUUUGUUUAAUGGUAUAAACCGGCUCAAAUAUUUUGUAAACCUGUUUUAAUAUAUACAUUCUAUGUUUAUCUAUAUUCUAGAGUGAUGAGAGGACGAGAUCUUUGUAGAUGCAGUUUUGAGUGAUGAGGUCUGACACGGAGGCCAAGCCGUGGACGUUAAUGGCAGCGUAGAAGCUGGAGACAGCUUCAGAGUUCAGACACAGAUGUGGGAGCUGUUCG
rnacentral:lncRNA from 1 species